CCCCAAGCCGUUUAUUUUAUUGAUUUUUUUCUAACGAAUCCUGUCAAAGAUUUAUACGAGAUCACAACGAAGAUGCUACAUAAACUAUACCAUGUAGAUGUAUCAUAUAACCCAGUCUUUAACUAAACUAAAAAUAUAGAACUGCCUAAAAUAAAUAGAUAUCAAAUACAUCUAAACAGAUUGGGGAAAAAAUCAAUAAAAUAAACGGCUUGGAGGGAGACAGACUGCAGAUCUCCUAUCUGAACAUAACGCAACUACGAUUUUACACAAAAGAGGAGACCUUUGUACAAGAAGGCUGCACACUAGCCAAAUCCCUUCUCAGUCAUUAGUUGGAGGGUUAAUAUCUGAUGCAUUAUCUUUCUGGUUUGGAGAAGGCAUUGUUCCCCUCAGUUUCAAAUCCCCAACUCGUUGCUGCUGCUGCUGUUGUUCUUGCUGUUGCUGCUGUAGCUGAUGCAGUUGAUGCUGCUGGAUUUGAUGCUGCUGUUUCUGAGAUUGAAUUUGGAGCUGUUGAAACUGCUGUGUGGUCAAAAGAGUAUGCAUUGCUUGAUUGUUGGGAUAGAACUGCUGGCCCGCUCCAAAAGACGCAAAGUUCAUCAUGGGUCCACCAUUUGGCAUGGUUUGACCAGUCAUGACCUUCAGAUGCUGAAUCUCUUCUUUCAAUGCAUCAUUUAAUGCAUCUUGCAAGUGGACCUGUUGCUCCAUUGUUUGCAAGCGCAAUUUGAGUUCACUAUUUUCAGCAGUCAGACCAUUUGUAUCCCUCUGUAAUAGAGUCAAUUGAGCAGACAACGAUGUUGCUUCUGUUUGCAGUGUUUGCACUUUCCGUUCAAGUUCAGCUAUAUACCGCAUUUUCCUUUCCUUUGACCUUGCAGCUGAUUGUCUAUUUGCCCAAAUCCUUUUUGCACGUUUAGGAUCAAUAAGAGCAAGUUCAGCAAGCUUUGCAGCAGACAUGGCUUUCUUAGAAUCAGCUGGAGACACCUCCUCUGCACCUGAUAUGAGCAUCUCCGGCUUGAUAGUAGUCGAUCCAUCCAUUGACUGGCUGUGUUGGUGCCUAACUCUUGGCCUUUCACUAGGGCCAGCACUGACAUCUGGUGGUACUACCGAUCCUGAUGCUGGAGUUGAUGACUCCCCCAAUUGAACAGUAGAUGUGGCACAGGAUGAAUUUAACUUAUCCAUAUCAAGGUACAUUGAUAACAAAUCCUCCUCAUUCUCAUCAGAGAAAGAGGGCCCAUCUGCACCACCUACUACGCCAAG
rnacentral:misc_RNA from 1 species